UUGAAAAAAAAAAAAAAAUCAAAAACUAUCCCUCACGCGGUUACAGAUACUCUGGAAUCUGGAUAGUCUCCUCCUUCACACUCUCCCUCUCCUCCUUCAAUCCACUCAAGUAUCUACAAUCCAACGAGCCCGCAAUAGUUGGCGCCGCGAUGGACGAGUCAGCAACCUGCUUCAUCGUCCAUUUCCCGGUGCCCAUCAUCCCCGUCUUAUCCAAUGAGAAAGAGCCCUUCUUUUGUGCUCCUGUUAUAAUGGACAGAGUAGCUCAUCUUCGUUCAUCAAUGACAAUUAAAAAGUUCUUAAUCCCAGCUGGUAACUGAUCUGAUACUUAGUCAACAAAAAAAAAGAACAAGAGAAGAGGCCCUCCUUUCAAAGGUUUUACGAAUCUAUGAGUGUCAACCAGCUUGAGAGCAUAUUGUCUUCCAUUUCAACUUCCAUUAUCAGAUACUCCAUCCACAGCAAAGUGCGGGCGCGUUCUCUCUCACUUUCUAAAUCCAAACAAACAUAACAUUUACAUGGAUAAAGCAUACAGUGGCUACCGUUUGUAGUAAUCAUCAUAAACUUUAUGUAUGACACUUUGCUGUUCUUUUUCAUAUUGUAUUGAUUAUGGAUUUCAGUGAUAUAAUGAAGUAAUACCACUGUUGCUUUA